rnacentral:rRNA from 1 species
CCUACGGGGGGCUGCAGUGGGGGAUAUUGCACAAUGGGCGCAACCCUGAUGCAGCGACGCCGCGUGAGCGAAGAAGUAUUUCGGUAUGUAAAGCUCUAUCAGCAGGGAAGAAAAUGACGGUACCUGACUAAUAAGCUCCGGCUAAAUACGUGCCAGCAGCCGCGGUAAUACGGAGGGAGCAAGCGUUAUCCGGAUUUACUGGGUGUAAAGGGAGCGUAGGCGGGGCUGUAAGUCUGAUGUGAAAUUUUGGGGCUCAACCCCAAAAGUGCAUUGGAAACUGCAGGGCUUGAGUGCCGGAGAGGUAGGCGGAAUUCUUAGUGUAGGGGUGAAAUGCGUAGAUAUUAAGAGGAACACUAGUGGCGAAGGCGACCUGCUGGACGGUAACUGACGCUGAGGCUCGAAAGCGUGGGGAGCAAACAGGAUUAGAUACCCCAGUAGUC